CCUACGGGAGGCAGCAGUAAGGAAUAUUGGACAAUGGACGCAAGUCUGAUCCAGCCAUGCCGCGUGAAGGAUUAAGGCCCUCUGGGUUGUAAACUUCUUUUAUAGGGGACGAAAAAAGGGCUUUCUAGCUCGACUGACGGUACCCUAUGAAUAAGCACCGGCUAACUCCGUGCCAGCAGCCGCGGUAAUACGGAGGGUGCAAGCGUUAUCCGGAUUCACUGGGUUUAAAGGGUGCGUAGGCGGGCAGUUAAGUCAGUGGUGAAAUCUCUGGGCUCAACCCGGAAACUGCCAUUGAUACUAUCUGUCUUGAAUAUUGUGGAGGUGAGCGGAAUAUGUCAUGUAGCGGUGAAAUGCUUAGAUAUGACAUAGAACACCGAUUGCGUAGGCAGCUCGCUACACAUAUAUUGACGCUGAGGCACGAAAGCGUGGGGAUCAAACAGGAUUAGAUACCCUGGUAGUCCACGCCCUAAACUAUGAUUACUCGACAUAUGCGAUACACUNUAUGUGUNUGAGAGAAGACAUUAAGUUAAUACCACCGUACGGUAAGGUACGACCGACCGACGGUUAGGUAAACGUACGAAAGUAAGUAAGUAGGUUACGGUUACGUUAGGAGACGACGGACCGGACGGACCGACCGACGGGAGGGAGGGUUAGG
rnacentral:rRNA from 1 species